UGCAUCACAACAUGUACAUGUGUACAUGCAGGCAUGAAUACAUGCAUGCAUACACCUAUAAAUCCAUAUACACACAUGCACAUCACAUAUCUACCUUUUUUUUUUGAAAGGUACAUAUCAACCUCGAUGAUGACACAGAUGUGUAGAUGCACAUAUCCGUACUCUCAUAGCUCAUGUAUUCCAUAUGAAUGACUCUUAACCAUUGUGUAUGUAAGCCCAUAACCCACUUCCGAGCCUGCACAGCCAUGGAUAAGCCAUCUCAUCUAUGUGCCACCACAUGUGCCAAUGUCACACUAGAGGAUGAGAUUGUAAGUUCCCAUCAGGUGGAAUCACAUCAUUUUGAUGCUUUGACAAUUCAGGCUAGUCAAAUCAAUGGAUGGGCCACAAUUUGCAAAAGAAAUGGCCAGAUGAGAAACUUUGGGCGUGUUAAUGUGCCACCACAUGCCAAUGUGGCACUAAAGGAUGAGAUUGAAAGCACCCAUCGGGUGGAUCACACCAUUUUGAUGCUUUGACACAAUUGUCUUGAUAUUGGUAGUAAGAGAAUAAAGACCCAAAUGUGUCGAUAAAAAGGAAAAAUGUUUGGUAAUACCGGGCAUGACUGCUCAUAUUCGGAUUGAAGUUUUUUAAAUUUGUGAAAGAUAUCAUAUCAUGUCCUGAUUCUUGGAACCCAAAAGCUACAGGCAGCAUUUGUUUGUAUGCUAAAAAGCUUUUGACUUUAUGAUAUUUACUUUUGCAGGCAAAGGUCUCUGCUUCCUGCUUUUGAAUCUGCAGAAAUGCGCACCUUAGCAAAGAGGUUAAGUAGGUAAAUUCAGUGCCACUUAGAUGGAAACCAUAGCUAAGCAGUCCCUAAUUCUGGGUUUUACAAAAUGCCCUGUUAUCCAUGGAUCAGAAUCCAUCAGCUGGCAUAUCUUUACUACUGAGUUGGUAUGAGUGUUAAUUUAUAUUCGGUCUUUGUUACUUGCAGGAAUAUCAUUCGUGGGAAUACAGAUGUGAAGUGGGAAAGCAUCAAGGGGUUAGAGAAUGCAAAAUGCCUUCUCAAGGAAGCAGUUGCGAUGCCAAUAAAGUAUUCCAAGUAGGUCUCAUUAAGUCUGGCAAUGCCUCAUGGAUAGUUCUAUUAAAAUUGAUGAGAAUUAUUUGAGAAAUUAAUUUUCUUUUAGAUGAAUAAUUUGUUAGCUUUUGAAGCUCAUUACGUUAGUGCUGCACAUUGCGUAAUUGCAUGAAAGAGAAAUUGAAGCUGAAAAGUCUCAUUGUUAGAUGGAUAGAGUAUUGAGCUUGA